rnacentral:rRNA from 1 species
AGGGCCGCGGUAAUUUGACCGUGCGAAGGUAGCAUAAUCAUUAGUCUUUUAAUUGUAGGCUGGAAUGAAUGGUUGGACAAAGGAUGUUCUGUCUUAACUAUAAUAAUUUAAUUUUACUUUUAAGUGAAAAGGCUUAAAUGAAGUAAAGGGACGAUAAGACCCUAUAAAACUUUACAUGUGUUUAAAUAUUUUUUAAGUUUUGAAUAAAAUUAAAUAUAUAAAGCAUGUUUUGUUGGGGAGACAAAGAUAUAAUAAAUUAGCUGUUUUUAGAAUUAAUAAUAAUAUUUAGAUAUUUGAUCCUUAAUAGAGAUUAAAAGAACAAGUUACUUUAGGGAUAACAGCGUGAUUUUCUUUGAGAGUUCUUAUCGAUAAGAUUAGUUGCGACCUCGAUGUUGAAUUAAAAUUUCUUUUAUGUGCAGUAGCC